rnacentral:sRNA from 1 species
GGAGAAGAAGGCGGGGCUAAAACUGGCGAAGGCGUGGCUUCUUGGCUGCUUGACGAAGUGUCGUGAAUGAAAGAAAGGAGACCGCAGAAGUAAAGAAGUGGGGAGUUUAGGUGUCUGCUUUUGGGGCAGAGUUUUCAUCGGAGGCAUGCAGAGAGUUAGGCUUUUCUAGCAACUUGCUCUGCAGCUCUUGUGAUCUUCUCGGACAGUUCAACCUGCUUCAGCUGGAUCCUGAUUGCAGAGGAUGCUGUCAGGAGGAAGCACAAUUUGAAACCAAAAAGCUGUAUGCAGGAGCUAUUCUUGAAGUUUGUGGAUGAAAAUUGGGAAGGUUCCCUCAAGUCCAAGCUUUUGUUAGGAGUGAUAAACCCAAACUGUUCAGAGGACUGCAAAUCAAGUAUGUCCGUGGUUCAGACCCUGUAUUAAAGCUUUUGGACGACAAUGGGAACAUUGCUGAAGAACUAAGCAUUCUCAAAUGGAACACAGACAGUGUAGAAGAAUUCCUGAGUGAAAAGUUGGAACGCAUAUAAAUCUUGCUUAAAUUUUGUCCUAUCCUUUUGUUACCUUAUCAAAUGAAAUAUUACAGCACCUAGAAAAUAAUUUAGUUUUGCUUGCUUCCAUUGAUCAGUCUUUUACUUGAGGCAUUAAAUAUCUAAUUAAAUCAUGAAAUGGCAGUAUAAUCCAUGAUAUCUAAGGAGUUGGCAAGCUUAACAAAACCCAUUUUUUAUAAAUUUCCAUCCUCCUGCAUUUGUUGAUACCACUAACAAAAUGCUUUGUAACAGACUUGCGGUUAAUUAUGCAAAUGAUAGUUUGCGAUAAUUGGUCCAGUUUUACGAA